AUUAAACGCUGGCGGCAUGCCUUACACAUGCAAGUCGAACGGCAGCACGGGGGCAACCCUGGUGGCGAGUGGCGAACGGGUGAGUAACGCAUCGGAACGUGCCCUGGAGUGGGGGAUAACGUAGCGAAAGUUACGCUAAUACCGCAUAUUCUGUGAGCAGGAAAGCAGGGGAUCGCAAGACCUUGCGCUCUGGGAGCGGCCGAUGUCGGAUUAGCUAGUUGGUGGGGUAAAGGCCUACCAAGGCGACGAUCCGUAGCGGGUCUGAGAGGAUGAUCCGCACACUGGGACUGAGACACGGCCCACGAUCCUACGGGAGGCAGCAGUGGGGAAGUUUUGGACAAUGGGCGCAAGCCUGAUCCAGCCAUGCCGCGUGAGUGAAGAAGGCC
rnacentral:rRNA from 1 species